AUUUCCAUGUUCUGUGAAUGCUUCCUGCCUGGGAGCUGCUCUAAGCCAUGUGUUGAAUUGAUGCUUAGAGUGACUCUAUCAGAGCACGUCUUUAAAAUUUAGGUAUAAAAGUUGCCUGAAUUGAGAAGACAGGUAAGAGACAAAUUCUCUCUCUCUUCCUAACUCUCUGACUUGCUGCUGUUAUUCUUCACUCCCCACCAGAAAAAUUCUGGCCCUGUUCUUUCUAUAUGCAAAGCAACAGGAGGAGGAACAGGUCAGGCCUUAAUCACCCAUGAUCACUUCUUUGCUUCUCCGUCCCCAGCCUCCCAACAAAGUGCUGUUGCUGUGCCUGGAUCACCAGCAAUGCCACAAUCUGAUGUUUUAGUUGAGUCAGGGAUGCUGUGUAGAAGAUUGUCAGUGGUUGCUUCCAACUCAUGGGGGACCACUGGGGGUUUAUUGCUUCCUUUUGUUAAGCAGAAGUCCUGGUGCCAGAGAUUCCAUAGUUUCCUCACUGGCCUCCUGCAAUGCAUCUAUGGAUAUUGCAUACUGCUGUUAGAAUUGGGCAGCAGGUGGUGAAUUAAAGGACUCAUCUGCUAAGAAGAAAAAAAUGUUAGGGUUUUUAUUUUCUUUUCCCUAUUGCUUUGUGUUUGGUGAGGAGAGAAGAUGCAGCAGGUGCUAAAGCCACUAUUGCUGCCUUGGGGGGUCUUGUCCUGCUUCUGUUUCUGCCUCUCUACUGUUGUCUUGUUCCUGCUGCUUAUACAGCAGGGCCUUGUGCUUUGCUAGGAAACAGUCUAACACAUUUUUGGGGGUGGAGAACUGACAGUAUUUUGGAACUGACUAAAAGUCAGGAAGGAUAGUAGCCUUCUCUUGUUUCUGCUUUUUGGUUUUGGUUUUAUUCUUUUUUGUCUUUCUUUUCACCCAUAUGUUUCAUCUUUUUGCUUUUGUUGUCACUAGACUGUCUCACACCGUCCCUGGCAAAAUUCAUGUUCUUUAAAGAAUUAUCCAUCCAGACAUAGUAAUACAACUGAGAAAGGAUUCUUUAUAAUAUACUCUGCUUUUCCUCUGAAUUAAUAUCUAAAUGCUAAUAUCCAUGCUGACGUUAGAUUAAAAAAUUAAGUUCUCUGUUUUUCACUUCCUCUUCAAUGCAUGUUUCUGCCAAGUUCCCCAGUAUUCCAAAUGCUGUUUCCCUUUUCCUUUUUCCUCUCUGAUUAAGGUAAUGGUUAAAUUUCUGAAUUCCUUUUUACCCGAGGAUCUCCAGUCAGGUAAUAGUUCUCUUGUAGCUGUGUGAUGGCAAAAUGAGGAACCCGAAGGCCUGCCUCCAGAGCUGCUCCAGGCUGGGUUUUAAACAAAAGCUUGGAAACAUUUGUGCCCUGAAAGUUGAGGAAUUUCCCUACCUGGCUUUUGGCAUGACAGCCUCAAUUCUAAAAACAACUCUGCAUUAGCAGGCUCUCCUGCUAUUCUUCCAUAUGAGAAAGGAUCCUUCAUGGGGAUUGCUCAGUGUUCUGCUGACCAUUAGCAUCUAAGGGUUCUAUUCUAAAGUGGGAAGCUGGCUCCUGUGUCUGAGAAGAUGAGCAGUAUUUUUAGGAAGAUGACAUUUCUAUUAGUCCAGAGGGGAAAAAAAGCAACAGACAGAUCAGUUCUGCUGGCCAUGAUACAAAGUGGAAAUGGCUGUCCUUAAUUAUGGGAUUCAAAGAAUCCAAGUUCUCCACAGCAGCUGCUUUCACAAACUCAAGACUUGGAGAUUUGAGGUAGGUUCUGAAAUUGCUUUGAUAUUCAGUCACAUCCAUCAAGACAGUGAAAGUAACACUAGUAUUAGUGAUAGUAUUAAUGAUUUAUCAUUCCACGUCUUCGAUGAAUCAAGUCUGAGAAAGUGUUUACUAGAGAUUUAUGAAAAAGAAAUGCUGAGCAAAAGAACACAUUUCAUUGCAAAUGUUGCAGAAAAUUUCAAAAAGAAUGAGUGUUUAGUUUAAUUUAAUUAGACACUGUGGAGACACAUAUCCUUCCUUUUCCUCUAAAUAUGUUGUCUUCCUGAUUAAAUUAUUAGUAUUGGGCAAACAUAGGAGAGAAAGGGGAACAAGCAGUGACUGAUAAAAGACAAUUCACAGAUGUUAAGUAGUUUUAAUCUGCUGAUAUAUUCUUUGAAAGUUUUGAUCAGUUUAGUGGGAUUAUGCGAUAAAAGAGACAAAAUUCAAUAAGCAGAUUAAUAAUAGAAAAGAUUUGGUUGAAUUUGUUUAAUAGCUGUUUUGGUUAGGUGUUUCGUUUUUGCGGGUUUUUUGUUUUGUUUUGUUUGUUUUUGUUGAGUUUUUUUUUAGGGAAAGUAGGGUUUAUGAUAUAUGGAAGAAUGGUGACUUAGGAAAGUUAGAUCAUAACUUUUUCAGUUUGAUAGGCUUGAUCGAAUUUUCUAUUAAUUUAACUAGCAUUACCUGCUGCUUAGCAUAAAGAUGACAAAAUAUAGAUAGACUGGGAUAAAUAAAAUAACUCUUCAAGUAUUGAUUCUGAAGUUGUGUAACCAAUAUAUUCAGCUGCAUAACUACCAUUUAAAUAAAUACUGUGUUUCAUAAGUGUGUUACAACAUGGGUAAGCCAAUAAUCCACAAGAACUCUCACUCACAAGAACUCGGGGCAGAGGUUACAUUUAUAUCCAGGUUAUUUGAUUUAGGGGUUUGGGGACUGUACCUUGUACUGUUGAAAUCAGGUGCCUUUUUCUUCUUGGUUUUCUUAAAAGCAGGUCCCAGAUUAAUUUAUUAAAUGCUGGUACUGGUCAUGCACAAUGUAGAUUUUUCUGUGGAAAGAAAAACCUGGUACUAAUAAUUGGGCAUUUUAUACAAAAUUAUAAAUAAAUAUUUUCAAGACUGAAAUGUCUUGAGAAGAUCUUGCUUUUGACAGCUUGAAUUAUAAUUUUGGUUAUAAAUUAUAAAUAAUUUUAAAAUCAGGGAGCAAAAAGAUAGCAGCUCUCACCUCUCAGAGCUUGCCUGCUGCUGCCUAAUCUGUCAGGGGUGUGGUGGUAUGAAAAUGUACCAUGAGCUGAGGAAAUAUAUAGUGUGUCAGUGGUCCUCAGACACCAGCUGUGCUGUUUGCAUAUUCCUAUUGUCCAUCUAGAAGAUUCAUAAAGAUAGGCUGGCAUUCUUAGAGGGACCUAAAGAGGGGUGAAGGAAUGAAAAAGAGAGAAACAUCUAGUUUUGAUUUUGAAAUUAAUACAAAAAAGAAUUUAAGUUUGAUGCUUAAAAAUAUACACAGCUAUUGAAUUCCUGUAUUGAAUUAUAGUUGAUAUUUAGAAUGGAAAGAAUAAUUUGGGGUCUUAAGAGUAAAUCAGACUCUGUAAAAUAUAAUUUUGGGGAAAGAAAUUAUAUUUAUAAUAUACAAUUAGGAGAGAUUUUUUUUUUCACUGAUUAAAUAGUGAAUUCUGCAGUUUUCAAUCUAAUAAGAGUGAAAAUUAAAAGCAAUUAGAGCUUGGAAAACUUGAUGAAUGACAGGAGGCUAAAAUGCCUUGUGAACAGGAAAGAAAAGGUUCAUCUCAGUAGUACUGUAAUGGAAACAUUUUAGUGCAUCAAACUACUUUUUAAAUUAUCAAUAAAAAUUAUCUAUGUUAAAGCAUCUUUUAAAGAAGGAAUGUGAGGUGGGCCACAGGUCCACAGGGCAACAGCAACAGCAGGUACACAGUUCUUGCAAACACCUAUAAAAUAAGUCUGGAAAUAACUGUCCAAAAACUAACUAACCAACUGACCAAAAAUUCUUUGGGACAUUGUUCUUCUUAAAAUAAUAGGGAAAUUAUUUUUAGAAUAAUUUUUAAGCUAUUACUUCAUGUUUGUUAAACUUUAUUUUGGAAUUACUCUAUGUUUUAAAAUCCUUUCUUUCAGAAGGGAUAAGCACUCACGGUUUCCAUAUACUAUGGUCAAAUUCACCAUCCCUUUUGAUUUUAUGCAUUAUAGUGAGUAUUGUACAUAUGAAGGCAGAAUCUAUUUUCCCAGAUUUUAAGUAUUGAACUAAAAGUUUCUUCUCUGUGAGGAUCAGCAUUUGGAUCUUGUUCAGGUGAUAUUGUCCGUCUCUGUGUAAGUCUUCCUUUUAGCUGAUAAAUUAACAAUGCAGCCAUUUUCAAUGUUUUAUUUUUGUGCUUAUUUUAGAGGUACAUCUAAAGGAAAACCCCAUACUUAGGCUUUUCCUGUACACCAUUGAAAUUUCUUUCAUAUUUCUCAGAGUUAAAAAAAAAAGGUUGAACAUUCUAAACUUACCUACAGUGCACACUACAUGCUAAAGAAGCUGUGUGCUUUUUUUUUUUUUAUGGACUCAUUUUAUUAAAUGACUGUUACUACCUGCUUUUUAUCCAGAAUUUCCUCUGUUUUGGGAGGAAAAACUCAACAAAAAUUCUUGGUUUUUUUCAUUACUCCUGUCAUUGGGAGUGUUUCUCCCUUAAGAGUGUGAGGCAAUAAUUUUAGAGAUUGCUUGAAGUUUCAAGAAAAUUUUGCCAAGUAGGGGCUGAUGUCUUGCCACAUGACCUAGUUCUAAUUAAUUUUCUGCAUUUGGAGUGGGGAGUUGAAUCCUAUUGCCAUGGAUGGGAGAUAUCCAUCAGCUUGCAGCACACAGGUACAGCAGAGAGGAGUGUUUGCCAUGCAGGUUGCUCUGGUGGCCAUUCAGCUUCCAAAGCUCCUGCUCUCCCCAAGCAGUCUGGAUGCUUCCUCUUGGAGCUGCUCAUGUUUUGGCUGCUGUGCUUUUGCUCCUGCCAGUAGGGGGAGAGACAGGCACUUCUAGAGCCAUGCUAAGAGGAAUGAAUCACCUUUCAACAUGCCAGCCUAGCGCCUGAUGCACAAUCAGCACUGAUGUUUAGCUGCUGAAUGAAUGAAGUUUUGUAUGACGGAGGACUCUUGUAAAAGAAGGCUGUGUCUGCAGAAGUGCUCAGCAAAGUCAGUGUGCAAAUAAAUUUUUCUGUGCUUCUUGAAAUACCUGAGAAAUAGGAAUGAAGUAGGAAGCAGUCUCAUGUGAUAAGCCAAUACUUUCUCUUUCUGCUGAUUUUCCAGGCAGUUUCUGGUGGAGUCAUGUACGGAUAUGACCCUUUGCUGCUCAUCAGAGCAUCAUUGAUCAAUUCCUACUGCAUAUAUGCUACACAUGCUACUUGAAUGUUUUAUUGCUGUUAACUAUUGGAAAUCUUAUUCAAAAGAAUUAUCUUUCUCUCAAAGAAACAAUGUAUAGCACCAAUUUGUGUUCUUGUGUCUUUCAGUUAAUAAGAACAUGCAAAAUCUGAAUUUUGCUUUUGGGCUGUGGUGUAUAUUCUUCUUCCCCAAACUCCAGGCAUGAUAAAGAUGGUGUUUCAAGGCUAAUAGUUAAGAAACCAAUGUAGUUUCUCCAUCAGUCUUUGAAGUAGAAGCGAGCUUUGGUUUUUGCAGGUCCAUACCACAAGGACUGAUAUGCCCAAACGCGUACAAGCCAAGGAGGUGACAGUUUCACAAAGCAGCCAAAUUUAAGACUGAGAGGCCCUCAGAGAUUUUUAUUAAUAAGCCUCUAGAAGGUACUUUUAGAUGGAUUUGAGGGAAUAUUUUUGUUUCUUUGUCACUGUACCACACACAUGUAAAGCAUAUUAAAAAGUUACUUCCAUGUUCUCAUUUAAAUGUGAAUGUCAUAUGUUUGAAUUGCUAAUUUCUUCUUUAAACUGCUUGAUCUGCUCAUGUUAAUUUAUAUAUAUGUUUAAUAAAUAGUUUCUUUACAUGUUCCCCAUUGCUGAUUCUCUGAUUGAAUGAUUUUAACAGUACUGGGACUAAACUAAUAUGGAAAAUUGCUUUUGAGAAAAAAAGGGGGGAAAUGGUCAGUAAAUUAGUCUUCUGUGAUCUCUGAUCAAAACAGAGUUUUGCCAAGUGACAUUAAAUUACAACUGAGCGAGACUGAAACCUUGACAAAUAAACUUUCAAAGACUGUC